UGGGGAAUUUUGGACAAUGGGGGAAACCCUGAUCCAGCCAUCCCGCGUGUGCGAUGAAGGCCUUCGGGUUGUAAAGCACUUUUGGCAGGAAAGAAACGUCGCGGGUUAAUACCCCGCGGAACUGACGGUACCUGCAGAAUAAGCACCGGCUAACUACGUGCCAGCAGCCGCGGUAAUACGUAGGGUGCAAGCGUUAAUCGGAAUUACUGGGCGUAAAGCGUGCGCAGGCGGUUCGGAAAGAAAGAUGUGAAAUCCCAGAGCUUAACUUUGGAACUGCAUUUUUAACUACCGGGCUAGAGUGUGUCAGAGGGAGGUGGAAUUCCGCGUGUAGCAGUGAAAUGCGUAGAUAUGCGGAGGAACACCGAUGGCGAAGGCAGCCUCCUGGGAUAACACUGACGCUCAUGCACGAAAGCGUGGGGAGCAAACAGGAUUAGAUACCCUGGUAGUCCACGCCCUAAACGAUGUCAACUAGCUGUUGGGGUCUUCGGACCUUGGUAGCGCAGCUAACGCGUGAAGUUGACCGCCUGGGGAGUACGGUCGCAAGAUUAAAACUC
rnacentral:rRNA from 1 species